AGCGUUCGGCACAGCUCCGCGCUCCUUUCCGCCGGGGAGAUGGCGUAGGUCGGGUUCUCGGCUGAGGGAGCACUGCGCUAAGAUGGGUCCUGGGGCAAGACUCUUGGGCAUAAUUAAAAUGCAAGCGUUUCAAGACCUGUGCUGUCCGCGCCCCUCGCGGGCCGGUCGCAGAGCCGCGGUGCUCCCUAGGUCGCGCGGAAACUGCGGGUGAGAACACGUGCUCCGGGAAAAGGGCUCCCCCGCCGGCACGGCGCUGGGGUGGGAGGGCAGCUCAGCAGUUCCGCUGUCGGCAUCGCGCGGCGUGGACCCCUUGUUCGGCGGUGACUGCGCGCUGAGACCCGCCACCGUUCGCUCCAGAUGGUAUCAAAGCCAAAGCGAUGAUGGCUGAGGUCUUCAGUAUCUUACAGUAGUUCACCAGAUUUAAGUCGUGGGAAAUGGUUGUUUUAAAUGCCUACAGGGCACUGUUUUCAAUAAGCUUGAACUUUAUUUGAACUAGUAUUUAUAUAAGAUGUUUCUUGUUUAAGUGUUUUAAAACUUUGUACCCGAAUAAUAAGUAAUAAAGUUUCUUUUUGGGGGAA